rnacentral:lncRNA from 1 species
UUUUAAAAAAAUGUUUGUAAUGUAUAAUUAACUUGAAGAAUUUUUUUUACAUUUAGUCCUCCCUUUAUUAUAAUUUUGAUAUAUAAAUUAUAUAUUUAUUUUAAAAGAUAAAAUAAAGUAGCAAAAACAAAAAUGGAGGCACACUAUCUUAUGAUUAACUUUCUUAAAAUGUCUUUUUUGUCUCAUAAAAAUGUUGAAAUUAAAUUAAUAUUUAUACAUUUCAAGAAGAUAAAAUGUUUGACAUUAAUUCGUAAAAGAUGAAAUUCUCCUUCUCAUUAAGUAGAAUGCAAUUAAGUAAUUAAAAUUUAUAAAUAAAAAACUUAUUAGAAGAAAAUAACUAAGAUUUAAAGUGCAAUGAUUCAUAUUUAAAUUAUGUAAUUAUACAAAUAAAAUAUUAAUAUUUAAUUAAAUAAAUCAGAUUUAAUUUAAUGGAGAGUCAAAAUGACAAUAUUAGUAUUCUUACAGUUAAAAGUUUGCUAAAAUAUAUUUUACAUUUUUUUGUUAAAAAAAUAAUAGGAGCAAUAUUUGGUCAAAGGAUAAAAAGAUCUUCUAACUUCUUAAGCAUUUUGGUGUAUCAUUUUUUCGACUUUGGAAUUUGAAUCUCAUGAUAAUUUUAAUGAAAAUUGUCGAAAAACUAUAGAUUUUAUCCACAAGCACAUGUAAGAGUGAUUCUUUACAAAUAUUUAAAAUUUAAAAUGCAAAAAUAUAAUUAUUAAUAUUUGAAAUCAGAAUAUCUUGUAAGCAUUAAUUGUUCUGCAUGUCUUAUAUACUAUUUUUAUGAUUGUAUUUGUCUCAUUUUCUAAAGCAAAAAAUACACCCUCAAUCAAAUAUAUUCUUAAAACAAAAUUACAAAUACAAAGAAAAAGUAUUAUAUAUAGGAGCAAGUUUAGCAUAACGCAACCAACGAAAAAUAGAAAAAUGCUAAGACAAUCUUUUUUCUGUUUUUUCUUGAUAAUGCAAAUUGAAACAAAGUUAUAGUAAUAAACAUUCAACUUUUGACCAUAAAAAAUUAAAAUAUUUGGAAGACACGUUAAUGGAAGUGAUAUUGUACUACAUAAAUGGAGGGGUCUUACCAUAGUUCUGAUCUCGACAAAUAAGUAAAAAUAAAUAAAUUCAUCAAGCUUCGAUAUUUUAGUAAUUAACAUUCAUUCCUAUAAUCACAUUAUGCCUUGUAAUCUUGACAUAAAUCCUCUUGCCUUGAAAUUUUCUUCACUUGAUUAAAACUUCUCUAGUCUUCCACACACAAAAAUUGUAUCACAUGAAAAUCUUUCUAUAAAAAUAAUAUUAAAAGAUUGUAUUUAUAGGAAAAAAUAUAGCUUUGGAAUAUGAAGAUUAACUUACAAAGUUGAAAGGUCAAGUGUUACAAAACUUAAAAACAAAUAUUAAUUAAGAACAUAAAUUAAUCUAGAAGAUAAACCAUAUACAUGUAUCUAUUUAAAGGGUAAAUAUUUAAAGAAGAUAAAUUAAAUUAGAUAUUUUAAUUAAGAAUUAAUCUAAAGAAGUGCAAAAGUCAUUAACAUUUCUAUUAAAAUACUAUAAUUAAAUAUUUAAAUUAAAUAAUUAAAUAUUUUUAUAUCGUUUUAAUUUAUAAUAAAGGUAAAAUCGUAAUUCAACUUUUAACUUUUUUGGUUCCCUCUUAUAAUAAUAUAUGAUUCUACUCUCUCGUGGUUUAGUGGUUUAUGAUAUUAUCUUUAUCUUUUUUUAAAAAAAAUUGACUUUUUAAGAAAAUUCUUUAGAUUUAUAUUUAAAAUAAAAUAUAAAUUAAUUUUGAUUUAACAAAUAUAUCUUUCUUUAUAUUAAAUCUUCAAACUAAUGAUAGAUGAAAAAAAUCGACUUAUUUAAUAUAUACUCUAAAAAUAAUCCAAUAAAAAUAAAUAUUCUUUGUUAAAAAGAAUGAUUUAAUUUAACUUAGAAAUGAAGUUUAUAAAGAAAAAAAAUUUAAUUAUGAUUUAAAAUUAAAAUUAUAUUAAUAUAUCAUUUAAUCUUGUGAUUUGAUAUAUGUUAGCUGAAAAAUUAAUAUUAAAGUAUCAUCUAAAAAGAAAAAAAUCACUUUUUUUUGAAAUAGAGAAACACAAAAUGUGCCUAAGUUGAUGGAAUCGAAAAAACUAAAACUAAAAAUGCAGCAAUUAGUAUGAGGAAAUUACCUUUCAUCUUUGUUUAGUAAAAAAUGAACACAUGUAUCGAUACAUAUGCAUAAUAUAUGAUGAUAGUAUUAAUUAAUUUCUAUUUUGGUCUAUUUUUAAAAAGUAUUUAGUAAAUGUAUAUUAUUAAACAAAUCAAUUUUAUAACAAUAUGCAUUAGUAUUAGUACGAAGAAAUUAAUAUAAAGAAGGAAAAAAAUGUCAAAAUGUAAUUAAUUUAUAUUUAUUUUAAAAUUUAAAAAAUGGCUAUAAAAAAAUUAAAAUAAAAGAGAUAGGUAUAAUAUCAUAAACCACAAGGGUUGAAUGGUAUAGAGCAAAACCUCUCAGAUUAUCCCUUAAAAAAGUUAUUUUUAUCACAUCAUACUUUCUUUUAUACUAGUUCCUCAACAUGUUCAUUUCAUGCUAAUUAAUAUUAAUAUGAAUAAUAUUGAGUAUGUAUGUGAUGAAAAUUGUAGAAGAAAAAUAUAAGUACGGUGUGAUGAAGGAUUAGCCCCUCAGAGUGAUAUUUAUUGCAAAACUUUAACAUUUAAAAUUAUUUUCAGAAAUAAACGUGAAAAUAUUUUUAGAGGUGAAAUAUGAAUCUAGGAAGAAAAAUGACUUCGUUUAGUACCCUCUUUUAAUAUCAUUGGAUCGGAAUAGUGAGUGUAUGAAUAAGUAGAAACCACAAUUAAGUUGACUAUGAAUAAUUCAAAAAAGAGAAUCAAAAUAUUACAAAGAUAGCAAGUUAAUAAAGAAGAAAAAACAAAUAAAAUGAACUUUUGCACAAUUCAAAAAUGGACGUGAUAACACUUGUCUAUUUCCACCAAGACAAAUCAGCUUCAACCGACGAAACGAAAGAAAUGACCAAAGUAACGCAAAGACAAGAUAAAAAUGGAAGGGCUAUUCAUUCUAUUAUAACUCUAAAACCUGAUUGUCACGUGAACAAGCCAUUAAUAUAUAAAAUACGGAAAUAAAAAAAAAUAAUUACAAGCCUCAAUGUAUUUGUUUCUCAAAUAGAACAAAACAUAAAAUAAGGAACGACUUCGAUUGAAAGUUUCAACAUCUUAUUUCAGUCUGGAAUACCAAAUUUCAUGGUGUAGCAUAAUUCAUUUAUAACACAUGGUUCCAAACAACCCUCAAUCAUUCAAGCGGAGUUCGUUGCGACUUAGCAAAUUUUUCUAGUGCACUGUGUUGGUGUAACUGAUCAAGUAGCCCUAUCACCUUGCAAGGAAGCCACUUUAGCGUCCACUAUCGUCUGACCCCAUUUGCAGCCCUAGCUUCAUUUACCCCUCAGGUGUAACUGGCGUCGUUGUCCUCUAAAGGACUAAGAUAAGCCCUUAGAAUACAUCAUAGCACAUCAUAUUUCAAAAGUUUCGAAUGAAUUUAAGACUUUACAUAUGGAGUUUACAUAGACUCCUCACACACGAAGUGUACAUAGACUUCUCUUUAGCAUAACAAAUCAUAUAGAAGUCUAAAGUCUCAUCUCACAUAUAAACCAUCUACAAGAAUAUGAAUCAAAAUAGUUUGGGCAUAGCCCUUAGUCUAUUUCAAUAUAUCAUAUAGGCUACAAUGAAGUCUCAAUAUAAGAAUGGAAUAAUUGUCAAAACAUAGACAAAAUACAUAAGGCUUGAUGAGUGGCUCUAUCCUCGGAACUCAUGAGGACUUACCAAUUGACUUAGGAAAGAGCCAAGUUUUCUUCUUCAAUGACUACGAAUCUCUUCAAUGGCCUGAACCUAAAAUAUUUGGGAAAUAAGGAGAAAAUAUGGGUUAGUACAAACCACAUGUACUAUGUAUGGUAACUAUGCACAAAAAUCAUCAAUGCAGUAGAAAAGGACAAUUUAGUCAAAAUCAUGUUUUCUAUCAAUUUACUGAACAUGCAUAUAUAAGAAGCAUAAGAAGUCAAUUCUAUAUAAUAGCAACCCAACAUGUAGAUCACCUAAGCAAUACUGUGCAAUGUCAAAUAGAACCGUAUAAUCCUAUCUAAGGUUAAGUACCACAUUAAGCAAUCCGCUUCAUACUUACAACAUAUUCUCUUAAAGUCAUCAUAACAUGAUUAAUACAUGAAUACUACUCAUAGCUUAUCAACAUAAUCAUAAUCAUAAAAGAACACUACUAGAACCAUCCUUUAGGAUCCCACAUGUGCAAUGAGUGAGAGAAGUAUUAUACCCCCCUCAUCCUAAGUAAUAUCCUUCGAGACAACCCUAAUAAAUUACUUAACUUGUUCUUUACUUUUACAUUAGGGAAAUAAGUGCAAUUACUGACAUGAGACCAUGUGAGCUACAUAGAAUCCGGUGUUCUACUCCCACACCAAAAAGAGAACAUUUGCCUAAGGUGUAACCAUUCAUACAUAGUUAUCUAGGUAGAUCCACUAAGCUAGAGUCUUAUGUGGGCACAUAGUUAAGGGUCAAGAAGAUUGUUGCUAAAAACCUUCACUUACUAGACGUAGAGAUUUCCAUCUCAUGAGACAACACAUAACUAGGGAAUCGAACUUACUAACAUGAUAAAACCCAUAUGGGAGGCCGGACUUACUAAACGUGAGACCUCCAUCACAUUUACAUGACCUUUCGGUGCUAAGCAUUCUUCCUUUUAGUAAUAAUCAUACUCAUCAUUCAAGAUCACAUUAGUCUCUUCUAGACUCCUAUGUGAACAUCUAUCAUAACAGCUCAUAGGAAUUCAUGAGUGAGAACUAACGUGUUACUUAAGAAACCACAUAACCUUUCACAUAAUACUUUAUCUUAAUUAUAAUGAACUAUUUUCAAUCAUACAAUAUCGUAUCAUAACAUGCAUACAUAGCUCAUAUCUAAUUCAAUGUCUUAGGGUUAAGGAUGAGGAAUACCUAUCAUCACAUCACAACCACACAUUAGACAUAGAAUCAUUACGAUAUAAGUAAAUCAUAAUUCACAAUUGAAUUCAAGAAGAACCAAUCAACAUACCUUUUCCAAGAACCUUCAUACUUACAUUACCAAGAAUACAUAACCAAUUACAUAAACGAGGUAAAUUCAAGAAUCAAUUACAUAAUUAACAACAAUGUAGUCACUCUACAUGAUCAUGAUCUCCACAAUUCAUCAUACCAAUUCAAUGUUUUCAUGAAAUUGGGGAAAAGACAUGUGUCUAAGGAAAUCUCAUAGGAAAUCAUCAAUUAACCAUCAAUAUAUACUUAAACAACAUUAAUUCAUCAUGAUCCAUCACAAUUGAUUGAUAAUUUUGUUUUUCAAAGAAUGUGAGAGAAAAAAACCUAGUUUUUGGGAGAUUUAGAAUUCAUCUUUUGAAGGGACCUCUUGGGAAAAAAGAAUCUCAACAGUGAAAGAAAUCAUACCUUAAAGAUGGAUUGCCCCAAAAUUGAGUAGAAACUGAAAGAAUUUGAUCUUCUUCUUCUUCAACCUUGAAAGCUUCUUCAAUGGAGGAUGAGUGCAGAGAGAAGGAAGAGCUGCUUUGGGGUUUUGAUUUGAGUGAGUGAUUGUGAGAAAAAACUGAAGGAAAAUCAACAUAUAACCCUCCCCUAAAAUACUUAAAGUACCCUCACUUAAGUUGACCAGUUAAUGAAGUCAAACUCGAAUUCAAAUUUUAGAUUCUCGAUGGGGAACAAGUUCGCAUCGUGAAGCUGAUCCCGCAAGAUUUUCAAAAACAAUUUUUGAAAUAGAAGAGUCUGCAAUGUGUCCAUGUCGCAGAACAAACUUUUGGAUCUAGGUGUGCUAAGUCCGAGACGCGGACUUGGUCCCUCUAAGCACAAAAGUUGCUACCUCUUGGCAACUUGCUUAGUCCAAAGUGGGGUUGUGGACUCCUCGGGCGAUCCUUGGGGGGUCGGACCUGGAUGUUUUAACCCUAUAUACAUUAUUUUAUCUAUUUAAAGCCUUUUUACAAGUUUUAGACUUCAUACAACACUCCCAAAUCUUACCAAAACUUAAGGACGUUCACUAGUUCAAUUUCGCUAGUUUUCGGACGUCAUGGUCGUUUCUUAGCAUUUUGGUUCUAACACUUCUUAGACAAGUUUUAUUACAUCUAUUUAAGUCUAAAAUCAUCAUUAGUCAUUUUGUGAAGCUCUAGUCUAGGUCAUAAAAUUUCCGGGGUGUAUCAAAUUGGUCAGGGUCUACUUUAGAGAUAGUUUGCCUGUGUGGCUAGGCCGCUUAGCGAUUAGGCCAUUCAUUUUGCGAUGCACCUUAAGUGGCCAAAGUGACGACUUUUGUGAUGUCUACAAGUAGUUAAAUCUGGGGAUUAUUUUCGCAUAAGUUGUAAUUGAUUUUUGAGACUUGCUCGUUUUUGGGUGGGAAUUGCUUGUUCUUGAGGAAAUUGAUUAGUGGAUUGGUCAUUUGUCACCCGCAUUAACUCGUUAGUCCUCUCCGUUUUAUUUGUUGUGAGCUUUAAUGGUGAAUUAUCUUAUUUUUGUUGCGUGAUCUAAAUUGGUUAUUUUUCAAAUGGAAUUUUUUUUUAGCCAGAAAGGUUUGACCAUAAUUUAGCCAUAAUAGUCAAAGGACAUGUUCACACUAUGAACUGUUUGUUGUUAAACAUUUUUGUCCUUUAACUCAAAUAUUGAAUAUAUUUUUCAAUUAUGUUUUCAAUGCAUUUGAAAAUGAUUGAUGAGAUUAUUUAUUUAAGAUUUCAUAGUUAAACAUUAAAAAGAACCACAAAAUGUACUAAAAAAAACAUAAGUUUCGCUCGCUCUUCUCUCUUGAAAUUUUCAAGAUCUAAAAAAAAAUUGUUUUACCAAAGAAAAAUUGUAAGCGUAGUAGUAAAAAACUAUAUAAAAAAUAGUAAAAAAAUUUAGUAUCUCUUUUUCAAUUUCAAAAAUUCUUCUAUUUUACUUUUUCUUUUUUUGUUUAUUAUUUUCCAUUUCUUAUUUCUUAAUGAUAAAAAGAGAAAAUUUAAAAAGUAUAAAAAGAGGAGUAAAGUGUAGAUGAUCUAUUUUAGUUUAUAAUUUCUAAUUUAGAAAAGAUAAAUUAUAUCUAAAUUUUAAUAUUAAAAAUUUAUAUUUGUAAUACUCAAAAUUAAAAAUUUGAAAUUGAUCGACAUGGAAAAAUAAUUACUCCUAUUUAUUUAAAGGAUUUGAUAUUACACAUCAAAUUUCUAAAAAGAAGUUAAAUAAUAAAAGUAGAGUAUAUUUUAUCUGAUUAUACUUAUAAUGUAUGUGAUUGAAAUAUGAAGAAAAUCGAAACUACAAUAAUAUUUCUCCUACUAUAUAAUUGUUUUUAUAUCCUCGGUCGUAGAUGGAUAGUAUCAUUCACAAAUAAAGCUUAUUAAAUUGAUAUUUUUUUAUUUGAGCACUACAGACACAUACAAAUAUUUUUUGGAUAAAAAUAUUGACGGAUCUUCAUUGAAAAAUUAUAAUAAAAUCAAACUGAUAUACAAAGUUCUUUAUGAUUUCAAAAUAAUUUUUAUAAAAAAAAUUUGAAAGAAAAACAUCUUCAUAGUUCUCCAAUGAUAAUGACAUUAUUGAUACUUAUUAUUAAAUGAGCUCUAAAUAAAUAAGUUUAUGAAUUAUUGUGUAUAAACAAAUUGUUAUAAAUCCAUUGAAUUGUGUGGAUUGUCCAUUUGCUUUCUUCAUGAACUUAUCCUAUCAUGUAUCUACAUUUCCAAGGUGACAUGAACCUUUAUAGAUAACUAUGUACUUAUUAAUUGAGCAUUUAUCAUGGUGGCCUUUGGGGUGAUAUUUCUACUCUAUAAAUAGAGAUAUCAUUCACCUUUUGUAAAAUACACUUGAAUAAGAAGAAAGUCUUAUCUUCCAUCUUACUCCUCUUGUUUUCAUCUCUUUAUAUUUAUAUUGUCAUAAGCUUGAUUUUAUAACACGUUAUCAGCACGAGUCUCUAGCCAAUUAAGAUUGAGUUUUAGUUUUUCUUUAACUCAUAUUUUGGUUGAUCUCGUUAUGAGAAUCAAGGUAUUAUUAUAUGCAUAAAAUCAGGUAUGUAUUUUCUAGAAUAUUUUAUGAUUUAGAAUAAAAAUAAUAUUCAGUCACUAACAAUUAUCAAGAACUACUACUAUUGGUUGAAUAUAACAUGCUAUACAAAACUUCUUAAAUAGAAGAAGGUAUAAAAUUUUAAUAGCAUGAGUUUGAAUGUUAUUUUGAUUGUUUUGAAAGACUGUAAGGGUGAGUCAUGUUGUACUUCGGUCUAUUAUACCGUUGGUUAAGGGUAAGACGAUGUAUUCAAGUUUCAUCGCACCAAAAGAGUAAGACAUCAGGUUAAAGUCCGGAUGCACCAUAAUGAAAAAUCUUUGAGGAUAAGACGAUAGAUUCAAGUUAUAUCGCACCAAAAGGAUAAGACAUCAAUUUGAGUUUUGAUGCACCGUGAUUGAGUUCAAGUCCCAUAGAAUUAUGGCGUAACACGCCUUAUAUGGAUAAGACAUUGAGUUUGAGUCAAUGCACCAUAGUGCUGAUAUAAUGAUGACUAAGGCUUUGAUGAAAAGUCUUUAAAUUCGUCCUAUUGAAUUUGCUCCAUUCCUUGAAAAGAAUGUGGUAGCAACAUAUGAUAAUUUUGAAAUCGCAUGUUCACUUGCUCUAUUCUAUCGUAUGAAUGUGGUAAAGUAAAUAGUUAGUCUGAAAGAUGACAAAUGAUUAACGAUAUGAAAAAAGGCAUAAAGGGACGGAAUUAUAAUAGUCAUCAUUGUGGUAAUUAUAAAAGGAAGAACACUAUGGGUUCUCCAAAUAGUCCUUCGAAAUGUGAAGGCAGUUUUCAUUAUCAAAAUGGUAUGAAAGGUCAUUAGACUUGUGAAUGUUGUCAACCCAAUAAUUUGACAAAUUUAUAAAUCUUCUAUCAUGAUACAAGAAGAUAAAGUGAUGGUACACUUAAUCUUUCAAAGUGAUGUUGAGGUGUGUCAUAGAAAUAUGAUGAAUUUUAAAGCCAUGACAAUGUGCUUAUAAUGCAAAUUUAUAAAGUACAUAUAAAUAAUUAGUCCAAUCCUUGAAGAGAAUGUGACUUGUAAUGAGUAUCGUGAAUGCUCGACCAUUCUAUAAGAGAAUGGGUCCAGAUGUGAUAAAAUCAUUAUGGGUUGGAUAUAUGUCACUACUCACCUCUAUAGAAUGUUAUAGAAAAAAAAAAUGAUACAUGUCACUUCUCAUCUCUACGGGAGAUUUGAGAGGAAAUAAAUUUUAUUUGGUAGAAAUGGCUAAUUGUAUUGUAUGUUUUAUACGUCACUAUGAUAUAAACUACCGAAAGGGCAAAAGAAUGAAAUAGUUCUUGCCUAUAAGGGUUGUGGUCAUUAUUGUGUGGCAAUACAAAUUUGUCAUUGGUUGUGUACCUAUGGUACAACAAAAGUAAAGCAAGAAAGACGUCUUGCUCGUAAUGAUUUUGACCAUGACAAUAAUAAUAUAAUUUCCUCCUUGAAGGAGAUGCUCACCAUAGGGAUGGUGUCAUGCAAUAUGUCAUAGUACACAAAAUUAAUUGCAAGCUCUAAUGACUUGUGCUAUUAUCAGAGGAAUAAUAUUGGGGUUGUAGUAAGUCUCAAA